AGGGAAGAAGUAAGAAGUUCCUUAGCUACAGAAGUCACACUCCACCACUUCCACAGUACCCUAUUGUGACACUGGUCAGCUCUAUUCUGUAUGGAAGGGGACCGCAUAAAAACACCAGGAGGUAGGGAUCAUUGGUGGUCAUCUUGGAGGCUAGCUACUGUUAUGCCCAGAUUGGCCAGAGUUAUCAUCUCUCUGAUUGGCCAGAGUUACCAUCCCCGGAAGCCCGGGAAGCAUGACUCCGGAAUUAUUUUUGGCUUAGUGCACCUCUCUGAGCCUGUCAUGGCUCUGGUGAGGUAACAGCUACAACAGUGGAUAAAAAACCAUCUAAGCAUUAGGAGAAAAAAGGUUUUUCCAUGGGAAAAGAAAGGAAGAGCCUAUGCGUGGCUAGCCAUGGAGAGAUGACUUCAGCUUGGAGAAUCAACCGGGGGCAGGAGAGUGUGUUCAGCCUGCCUGGAAAUUGAGCCGUCAUUGUGAUUAAAUGAGAUUCACCUGUGAGUGACCAGCACCAUCCAGUGCACCAAGAAUCACCACAUAAAAAUGAUUUCUCGGAAUGCUUUUUGAGAAGAGUUUUUAAAAGGUUCAUGUUUUCUCAAAAAUGCAUCAAUUCCAUUAAGGCGACAGUCUGGAAAAGGCAACACUGCGGGACAGAAAUCGGAUCAGUGGUUGCCAGAUUUGAGGGUGAGAGGAAAGGAUUGCCUACAGAAGACAGGAGGGAACUUUAGGGUGGUCAUGAAAACGUUCUAUAUCUUGGUUGCAGUGGUGAUUACAUGGUUGUAUAUAUUUGUCAGAACUCAGAAAACUGCACACCUCAGAAGGGAAGAGUUGAAAGUUCCCAUGAUAAGUGUGUUGACAUUAUGAAUUCUUGUCAUACCAGUAUCAGAUAAAGCUGUGCUAUUUUCCCAAAAGAGAUGCCAGUACUUUAUCACUGAUUUCAGUGAGCAGUGGAUUCUCAGAACCAGGUACACAUCUGAUUGCACGUGUAAGUAAAUACUCAAGGAUCUGUCAAGUGGAUGGAAAGAGUGAAAAUAAAGACAUUCGCUUGUUGC
ensembl:lncRNA